AUUGAAUUCCCUUCGCAUUUUGUG
rnacentral:siRNA from 1 species